GCCCGGGAGCGUAGCUAAAUGGUGGGAAGAGCAGAGCUUGGGAGUCUCGUGGCCUUGGGUUCAAAUCUUGCUUGUGCCAGUGGUUUGGGGCAAGUGACUUGAUCUUCUCCAAGCCUCCGCGUCCUGGUUAGUAAAGCAGAGAGGUAGAAAUACCACCUCUUGGGGUGUUGCGAAUAUGGAAAGAGAUCAUUGGUGUGUUCCACGCGAGUCUGCCUGGUGGCUGCGGUGUGCGAGCGCCGAGCUCGGCGGCCCAUCCAGGUGAGCAGCAGAAACGGGGACGUUGCCUCGCCCCGCUGGGCCUGUGCCGGCGGGAGGGUGUGGACGUGAACCCGAAUCGCCAGUGUGCUAAGUGCCUGCGCUGGGGCGGGGCGGUCGCCCUCGACAGCAGGGGGCUCAGAAGGCAUAGCCGGGGGCCUGGGGGGCUCAGCCCAGGGCGUGACCCCGGGGUCCCGGGAUCGAGCCCCACAUCGGGCUCCCUGCUUCUCCCUCUGCCUGUGUCUCUGUCUCUGUGUGUGUGUGUUUCUCAUGAAUAAAUAAAUAAAAUCUUAAAAAAAAGAGAGAAUAUGGUUUAAAAAACAAGAAAAAGAAGGCAUAGCCAGUAGAAGGGGGAAGCAGUUGCACCGGCCCCGUGGAGGGGAAGGCACGGCCCGCGGGCGGGAGGGGACCCUUGCCAGUGGGGCCGCGGUGCUGAGCAGCAAUUUGUGUGAUUUAUGCUGUCGUGUUUACCGACGUCAGCCACUCCGCUCGGCCCUGGGAGAUACGGGGAGGAGGGGAACCAGAAGGUUCGCAGGUCUGUUCGUCCCAACAGGGUGAAGAAAGGGGGGAGAAGAGUUAAACCAGAGAGAGCCGCGCUGAGGUCGGACAGAGAAUAAACAAGAAGGGACAUUUCUGUGUCACCUGCCAUCUUCCUUUGGAAAUAAAAAUUAUUUAUUUAUUUUUUUCCAGAAAUAGCUUCAGUAUCCAGCAAGAAAAGGUCCUGGAGGGUACAGCGCCAGUGCUGAGAAAGUCCCCGGGCGUGUUAGCGCGUCUGAGCGAAAUGUAGGGGCAGCUCGCCCGGCCCUGCCCGUUUCCCCGGCUCCGUAGCCGCGUUCCGGGGAGUCGGCGGCGUCGCACCUGCUCGGGUGCCUCCACGGGCCUGUCCCAGGUGCACGAGGAAAUUAGGUGAGAGAGGGAGAGGGCAAAGGUUGGACUUUCGAAGUAGCUUCCAAAACACGUGCAGGGGAGACUUGCUUGCAUGGACCCCUGCAUGCAAGUGGGCCUGCGAUGUUGGCGAAGCGCGUCCCCCCCCCCCCCCCCCCCCGCCCCGGAGGUCACAGGACAGGUGGAAGAGAGCCGCUAAUUCUGUCCCUCGGUCUCAUGCUGUCCCGAGCCUGGCGUGACCUCGGAGGGCGAGCUUCCAAGCGCUUCCCUGAGACAGUGGGCAGGGUGUGCCUGUCAUGCGAGCACCGUUUGUGGCAGCUGAUGUCGCCUGGGCACUUGCCCAGGGUCCGCCAGAAGACAGCGGCUUUUUAUGGCCUUUUGCAUUUGAACUAGUGACCCAGAGGCGAGAAAUUCUAUAUUCCGUGACUGACUCCCUCAGCAAUCCCGGGCACCCUGACACAGCCGUGACCCUUAAGUCAUGUGCGGCAUGCGGAUCGGCUCACGGGGAGAAGCUACACGGGGCUGAAAGGGAAUCCUCCCUGCAAAUCCCAUGAUGCCGGUGGGGCAAUUAACAGCUCCGACUGUCCUGAGGGGGGCUGCCUGGAGCCCUGUCGCUGCCAGAGACCCAGAAGAGGGGCGCAGUCCGUGUGUAUGCCUCGCCUUAGCUCAAGGGCUCUCUGUCCCCACCCCCUUUUUUUUUGCGGGGGAAGAGGGGACAUUGCAGUCGGUGCCCUGGGACAGGUCAGGGGGACUCAAGUGAUGAUUCACGGCAACUCCGAGGUCGCGAAAUGUUUGGACAGUGAGGACAAGAAUAGCAGCCAACAGGUUGUCCUCCCCAUCGAGGGUCUUCCGUGGGUGGGAAAAAGCAGGCAUUGCAGAGGCCGGUGAGGCUUAGUGUCAUUUUGUUAAUAAAGGCUUUAUAAGAGCCAGGAGAACACCAUCUGGUCCUGGGACUUUGCCAGGUGGAGGAGACUUUAAUAGCUUCUUGAGUUUCAGCAGGAAAAAUUGGGCUAUCCGGGGAACAGAACACGUGCUCAGGAAUGGUGAGGAGGUGAGCUUAUUUAGAAAGUGAGGGGAGCCUAAGAUGACCCUUUACGUUGGCACGGGACAGAGAUGGGCCGGGUGGCCAGAGCAGCUGCUCCGGUGAUGCAAAGACGAAUGGUUUAUGGCCGCAGCUCAGCAUCCCCGGUGACCCCGCUGUCUGGGGUCCGCGUGCACCAACAAGACGGGGAGGCCCGUUAUGUAAGAGGCUGUCCGGUAAUCCUCUAGGCGACAGACCUCACCCACGAUAAACCCAGGGCCCCUCGGAAGGAGCCCCUAGGCUGAGGGCUUAUGCACCCCUUUUGCAGAGAAUGGCAGUUAGCAUUGGCUCAAGGAGAUGUGGAUUUUUCUAGUUGGUGAGAACUUGUAGUCCAAACUGAAACCCGGUGACCUAUUUCAAGAAGUAAACUGUCGAAGGGUUGACAGUCACCCUCCAGAGAAUGGCUUGUCCCCCUCAGAGCAAAGGAAGAUGAUAUUUAUUCAUGGUAUUAAAAAAUUUAAAUUAAGUCAUCUACUAGCCGUCUCCUGAGAAAGAAAUAAAAAUGUACAGGGACACUGGUUAGAAAUGUUGCUAUAGAUUAAGACUAUGGAGGCAAUUAAUAUUGAGAAAAAGUCAAUCUAGCAAGGUAAGAAACUGAAAUAUUUAUAUAAAAAGGUAAAAAAAAUCCCAUUAGCUAUUACCCAGGUGGACACAUCUCCAUGUAAUUAUGGAGUCCGCUAACAAAAGCAAAUUUCUCUCUCCUUGGUUCCAUCUCUAAGGCAUUAGAGUUGCCAGAAGUUCUUUUCACGAGGAAGUAAUUUAAAUAGAUACCGAAUGAGUUAAGGGUCUCCUCUGUAAAUUGCUCCAAUUCUAUAGGUCAAAAAUGUGGCUCCCGUGGGGUUGAGGGAGAGAACAGUCGGGAGGCAAGGCAACGACCAGGUGCCUAGUAGGUGUGCACUACGUGCCUGUUGAGCUGUAUGCCCAAGGAUGGCGGAAGACUGGUUUGGGGGAAGAGCAAGGCGAGGGGGCCGAAGGGUAUUAGGGGUCUGCAAAGAUCCUUCGAAUAAAUUGUCCUGUUGGAGCCCCACCCGGGCCGGGGAGGUUGGAGCGACAGAGGCCUGAGGACCCCGCCAGGCCUGACAGCCUUGAAGCGGUGGUGGGUUCCUCUGGGCCCAGCUGUCCCCGCUGGUGGAGAAGCCUGCUAGGCUUCCGUCCAGGGCGACGGGGUCUCCUUCAGCCACGCCGCGAGGCCCCGGGGAGCCCCAGUCCGCGUUCUCUGCUUGUGCCAAAGGAGGUUGCAUGACCCCGCUGAGAGAUCCCACCACCAGGUUCGAGUCUGCAGUUGGGUCUUCGGUGCUUCUUGAAAUCUCUUUGCUUCCCAUCCAAAACGAGCCAUUCCCCGCCGUACGUAGAUUUUGCAGGUGGUCUUGCCGCAUCUUCCAUGGAGGGGGGACAAACAAGCGGCUGUCGCGUGCGCAUCUCCUCAGGUGCCUUGCAUAUGUGCCUGAACGCUUACCCCCCGCCACCCACCCCUCUCUGCGUUCUGUCCUGGGUCGUGUUGCGUCCUUCCAUCCAUCUCUCAAUCUAGAGGCUGUCCCCUCAUUCCUGCUGUAACAGGUCACUCAGGAUAGUUGGUUCAUGACUUAAAGGCUCCAGAGCUUUGCCCUACUUUCCAUUUUUGGGGUCUUUGCCUUAGUUUAGGCUUA
rnacentral:lncRNA from 1 species